GCGCCUGUAGCUCAGGGGAUAGAGCAACGGACUUCUAAUCCGUGGGCCGCUGGUUCGAUUCCAGCCAGGCGUGCCA
rnacentral:tRNA from 1 species